AGUGAACGCUGGCGGUAGGCCUAACACAUGCAAGUCGAACGGCAGCACAGUAAGAGCUUGCUCUUACGGGUGGCGAGUGGCGGACGGGUGAGGAAUACAUCGGAAUCUACUUUUUCGUGGGGGAUAACGUAGGGAAACUUACGCUAAUACCGCAUACGACCUACGGGUGAAAGCAGGGGAUCUUCGGACCUUGCGCGAUUGAAUGAGCCGAUGUCGGAUUAGCUAGUUGGCGGGGUAAAGGCCCACCAAGGCGACGAUCCGUAGCUGGUCUGAGAGGAUGAUCAGCCACACUGGAACUGAGACACGGUCCAGACUCCUACGGGAGGCAGCAGUGGGGAAUAUUGGGCAAUGGGCGCAAGCCUGAUCCAGCCAUACCGCGUGGGUGAAGAAGGCCUUCGGGUUGUAAAGCCCUUUUGUUGGGAAAGAAAAGCAGCAGGUUAAUACCCCGCUGUUCUGACGGUACCCAAAGAAGAAGCACCGGCUAACUUCGUG
rnacentral:rRNA from 1 species